rnacentral:rRNA from 1 species
GGCGGACGGGUGAGUAACACGUGGGCAACCUGCCUGUAAGACUGGGAUAACUCCGGGAAACCGGAGCUAAUACCGGAUAGUAUCUUGAACCGCAUGGUUCAAGUUGGAAAGACGGUUUCGGCUGUCACUUACAGAUGGGCCCGCGGCGCAUUAGCUAGUUGGUGAGGUAAUGGCUCACCAAGGCAACGAUGCGUAGCCGACCUGAGAGGGUGAUCGGCCACACUGGGACUGAGACACGGCCCAGACUCCUACGGGAGGCAGCAGUAGGGAAUCUUCCGCAAUGGACGAAAGUCUGACGGAGCAACGCCGCGUGAGUGAUGAAGGUUUUCGGAUCGUAAAACUCUGUUGUUAGGGAAGAACAAGUGCGAGAGUAACUGCUCGCACCUUGACGGUACCUAACCAGAAAGCCACGGCUAACUACGUGCCAGCAGCCGCGGUAAUACGUAGGUGGCAAGCGUUGUCCGGAAUUAUUGGGCGUAAAGCGCGCGCAGGCGGUUUCUUAAGUCUGAUGUGAAAGCCCCCGGCUCAACCGGGGAGGGUCAUUGGAAACUGGGAAACUUGAGUGCAGAAGAGGAGAGUGGAAUUCCACGUGUAGCGGUGCAAUGCGUAGAGAUGUGGAGGAACACCAGUGGCGAAGGCGACUCUCUGGUCUGUAACUGACGCUGAGGCGCG